UACGGGGGGGGGAUAAGUCGGUUGUUUCGGAAUUACAUGGGGCGUAAAGGGCUCGUAGGCGGCCAACUAAGUCAAGACGUGAAAUCCCUCAGGCUUAACUGGGGAACUGCGUCUGAUACUGGAUGGCUUUGGGAUUUGGGGAGAGGGAGUGCCGGAAGUUCCAGGUGUAGCGGUAGAAAUGCGUAGAUAUCUGGAGGAACACCGGUGGCGAAGGCGGCAUCCUGGACCAAUAUUGACGCUGAGGAGCGAAAGCCAGGGGAGCAAACGGG
rnacentral:rRNA from 1 species